rnacentral:rRNA from 1 species
AUGCAUGGAUCCCUAACUUGUGCAUUUGUCGCAGGCAGCUGUUGGGCCAUCGCUGUUGCAUCCUCGGUCGAAGCUGUACAUUACAUGAAUACCUUGCAGUCAGUCUCGUUGUCGGUUCAAGAGCUCAUCGACUGUGACACAAAGAACGAUGGGUGUGACGGGGGCGAGAAAGAAAAGGCCUUCGGGUAUAUACAAACAAAUGGACUCUCGAGUGAAACUGACUACCCAUACAUCGAUGAGAGGAGUAAAUCGGGUUGCAAGCCGAACAAAACAGUAGCAGCAAGGAUAGAAGGCUUUCAAUUUGUCAACCCAACCGAAGAGGCUCUAGAGAAAGCGGUAGCAAAACAUCCCGUGGUUGUCAGUAUACAGAGUCCCGAUGAUCUGCAGAAAUACAAAGGAGGCAUCCUGGAUUAUGAACCUAACGAAGACUACACCGGCAGCACACAUGCUGUCUUGAUUGUUGGUAAUGGCACAUAUUCCGACGGUGUCAAGUACUGGCGCUUCAAGAACUCGUGGGGAGAAGACUGGGGUGAGGGUGGGUUUGGGAGGAUCCGCAGGCACAUUGCCGACAAGCGAGGUGUGUUGGGUAUUUUCAUGCGCCAAGGAAUAUAUCCAGUGCUUAAGGACUGA